ensembl:snRNA U6 U6 spliceosomal RNA
GCUUGCUUCAGCAAUGCAUAUACUAAAAUUGGAACAAUACAGAAAAGAUGAUCAUGACCCCUGUGCAAAGAUGACAUGCAAAUUCGUGAAGUAUUUCAUAUUUUU